rnacentral:rRNA from 1 species
UGCGGCAGGCUUAACACAUGCAAGUCGAGCGGAUGUAGCAAUACAUCAGCGGCAGACGGGUGAGUAACACGUGGGAACGUACCUUUUGGUUCGGAACAACACAGGGAAACUUGUGCUAAUACCGGAUAAGCCCUUACGGGGAAAGAUUUAUCGCCGAAAGAUCGGCCCGCGUCUGAUUAGCUAGUUGGUGAGGUAAUGGCUCACCAAGGCGACGAUCAGUAGCUGGUCUGAGAGGAUGAUCAGCCACAUUGGGACUGAGACACGGCCCAAACUCCUACGGGAGGCAGCAGUGGGGAAUAUUGGACAAUGGGCGCAAGCCUGAUCCAGCCAUGCCGCGUGAGUGAUGAAGGCCCUAGGGUUGUAAAGCUCUUUUGUGCGGGAAGAUAAUGACGGUCCGCAA